AAUUUUAUUUAAGGUUUGACCUGCCCUAUGRGAAAUUAAAUGGCCGCGGUAUUUUAACCGUGCAAAGGUAGCAUAGUCACUUGUUUUUUAAUUGGAGGGUUGAAUGAAGGGUUGGGCGAGAUAUAAACUUUCUUUAUUAUAAUUAGUUGAAUUUGACUUUUGAGUCAAAAGGCUUAAAUAUAUUUAUAGGRCGAGAAGACCCUAUAGAAUUUUAUAUUUUUAUUUUAAUAWUUUAUUUGUUUWUGRWUAAAUUUUUUUUAUAAAAAUAUUUUGUUGGGGCGAUGGGAAGAUUUUUUUAACUCU
rnacentral:rRNA from 1 species